UCGCAACGCACGGGCUCUUUUGCUAGUUGGUACUCAAACAUACACUCAUCACUUACAUCCAUCAUGUCUUCCUGCAUAUAACAUAUGAAAUCCACAGUUGGUGUUUAUCAAUGUUGCAGGUGUAAAAUAGCUCAUAGGCAAAGACAAGUGCAUGAAAAAGACUGUGCUCGUUUGACAUGUGAGGGCAACCAAUCAUCAACGUCCAAAAAGUACUAUCCUAGCAUGCAUGAUGACUGGAAUAAACUAUAUUGCAUGCACUAUGGAAACCUAAAGUGAUGAUGACUAGAAUAAACUAAACUAAGUGAACUAUGGAACCGGUAUCUCAUAUUUCCAUAUGCAAGCAAGCCUCCAACGCCAUGAUGAAGCUUUCAUCUCAAACGUCAAGUAAGUCACUUUUUUUCUUCGGUACUAAAGGGAGUAAGCAAUGGCCUCAGCAUCUUAGUCAAGAGAAACUAUGCCACGAUGAAGCUUUCCAUUCGUUGUUCCUGUCGGUACAAAUCUCGCAUGGCAAAUACUGCUAAAUUACAUAAUCAUGUAGGGUUGAGGUGGUACUGCGUGCAUGGUGGAUGGGCGCAAGGGCCAAGAGAACGAGCAGAACGCCAAUAUGGAUUCAUACCUUAAGGGUGGUACGCGGGAAGAGAUGGGAUCGCCCGCUGCCGUCGCUGCCGAUUCAGCCGGGCAGAUCCGGCCUUCUUCUUCUUCGGUGACAGCGUGGGGUGGGGGGGGCUAGGGUUGGUUGAGUGGAGGACGAGGACGAGGACGGUGAAUUUAUUCGUCUCACCGGGCACGUCGGGGACGAAGAAGGUCAGGAGCACGACGGCGAGGGAUAGAUCGGACGAGGACUACGAACUCGAUCGAGUAGACGUGGAUCUGGUCCUCGGGUGAUCGGUUCACGAAAAGAUAUUUUCUCCUGGACCAUUAUGCCCUUAUCGGAACUAAAAUAUUAAAUUUAAUCAGUUUUGAUUUUCACAAGAUCGGAUGGCUAAUAAAAAUCAGAGGUGUAAUUACCGGAGUACUAACCCAAUCACCGUAAAACAGCUCUAAAAAAAUAUAAAAUAUUACAGCUCGCCCUAAAGAAAACCCCGUACCUCAGAUUUUCAGUUUUUGCCCUGUCUUUACUGUUUCCUCUAUCGCACAAAAGCACCGCGCACACCCACGACAGCUUCUUCGCCAUGGCUCCCCGUCGAAGCAGCAACUAAUAACAGUAGGUGACCAGGCAGUGGAGACCGUCCCGGGCAGAGCAGCUCGAGGGCUCGCUGGAGUCCUGGUCGAGGCGGAGGCGUGGGACAGCGUGAGCUCGUGUCCAGAAGACAUGGAUACAUGGAGUGAGGUAGGGGCCGGACAUGG
rnacentral:lncRNA from 1 species